rnacentral:rRNA from 1 species
AACGAACGCUGGCGGCAGGCCUAACACAUGCAAGUCGAGCGGGCGCUUUCGGGCGCUAGCGGCGGACGGGUUAGUAACACGUGGGAACGUACCUUUUGCUACGGAAUAGCCUCGGGAAACUGGGAGUAAUACCGCAUGUGCCCUUUUGGGGAAAGAUUUAUCGGCAAGAGAUCGGCCCGCGUCUGAUUAGGUAGUUGGUGAGGUAAUGACUCACCAAGCCUACGAUCAGUAGCUGGUUUGAGAGGAUGAUCAGCAACACUGGGACUGAGACACGGCCCAGACUCCUACGGGAGGCAGCAGUGGGGAAUCUUAGACAAUGGGCGCAAGCCUGAUCUAGCCAUGCCGCGUGAGUGAUGAAGGCCUUAGGGUCGUAAAGCUCUUUCGCUGGGGAAGAUAAUGACUGUACCCAGUAAAGAAACCCCGGCUAACUCCGUGCCAGCCGCCGCCGUAA